CUCUACGCCUAGGACACCAGAAUA
rnacentral:snRNA from 1 species